rnacentral:lncRNA from 1 species
GCUAGCUUUUAGAACAUCUAGUAUCAAGUAUCCUUGUGGAAGAGAAUUAGACAUUUGGUUCAUUAUAUCAUUUAUUUUCUUAUUUGACUUGUGUUUCAUUGUUCUUCCUCCCUCAUGUACGCCUCAUUGUCACAUCUAAGUACCGCGACAUGGAACAGCCAAGCUUUAUUCUAUCUUGAUUUUCUAAUUUCUGGUUUGCUAGUGAAAAAGACUGGGAUAAGAUGUCUCCUGCCAAGUUUGAUUCUAUAUUGGUCUUUUGAUUUUUGGUUUGCUAGCGAAAAAGACCGCGAUGAUCAUAAGCUGAGAUCUCCUG